rnacentral:rRNA from 1 species
AUGAGUUUCAUACGGAGGUUUCUGGAGGAGUUAGAUAUAGCCAGCGCGCACAGACCCAAGGCCAAUGAAGUUCGAGCGAACCGGUCGAUAGCUAAAGUUUGGUUACCACCCCCGGGUGAGGCGGCAAAAUUUAACUGUGAUGGUGGCUUGUCAACGUUGGGGGACAAGGGGGCAGCAGGAGUAGUUUGCCGAGACAAACUUGGGAAAUUUUGGGGUGCUUCAAUGACGGUUUUUGAUGGCCUGACCGAUUCGGCGUCUCUGGAGGCACUUGCAUGCAGCGAAGCACUAGCCCUAGCUCGGGAUUUGAAUCUUCAAGAUCUUGCCAUCGCUUCAGAUUGUGCAGAAGUGAUUUCCAAUAUAAAAUCUGCAAGCUUUCCAUCUUAUGCUCCUAUUCUUAGAGAAAUUCAAACUAGUAGCAAUAAUUUUAUUUUGAUUGAUUUCUGUUUUGAGAGUAGAUUUAAUAAUUUUGAGGCCCACUUGCUAGUCAAGGGAGCUGUGUCUCUCGCGGUGGGCCGCCAUGUGUGGCUAGGGGUUUUACCAGACAUUGCCUGUAUUCCGGACGUGGUGAACCUUUAA